rnacentral:siRNA from 1 species
AGGUACUUUCGGAUUUGAUCAUUC